rnacentral:rRNA from 1 species
UACAGAGGUCUCGAGCGUUGUUCGGAUUCAUUGGGCGUAAAGGGCGCGUAGGCGGCGCUGUAAGUCAGGUGUGAAAUUUCGGAGCUUAACUCCGAAACUGCAUUUGAUACUGCGGUGCUUGAGGACUGGAGAGGAGACUGGAAUUUACGGUGUAGCGGUGAAAUGCGUAGAGAUCGUAAGGAAGACCAGUGGCGAAGGCGGGUCUCUGGACAGUUCCUGACACUGAGGCGCGAAGGCCAGGGGAGCAAACGGG